rnacentral:rRNA from 1 species
AAAGUUUCCUUCGGGGAACAAGUAGAGUGGCGCACGGGUGAGUAACACGUAGGUAAUCUACCUUUGGAUGGGGAAUAACAACCGGAAACGGUUGCUAAUACCGCAUAAUGCAGCGGCACCUAAUGGUGACAGUUGUUAAAGCGGGGGAUCGAAAGACCUCGCGUCUGAAGAGGAGCCUGCGGCGGAUUAGCUAGUUGGUAAGGUAACGGCUUACCAAGGCGAUGAUCCGUAGCCGGCCUGAGAGGGCGGUCGGCCACACUGACACUGACAUACGGGUCAGACUCCUACGGGAGGCAGCAGUCGGGAAUUUUGGGCAAUGGGCGAAAGCCUGACCCAGCAACGCCGCGUGAAGGAUGAAAUCCUUCGGGAUGUAAACUUCGCAAGAACGGGAAGAAUAAGUAAGGGUUAAUAUCUCUUACGAUGACGGUACUGUUUGUAAGCUCCGGCUAACUCCGUGCCAGCAGCCGCGGUAAUACGGGGGGAGCAAGCGUUGUUCGGAUUUACUGGGCGUAAAGGGCGCGUAGGCGGCCACCGCAAGUCGGUUGUGAAAUCUCUGGGCUUAACCCAGAAAGGUCAACCGAUACUGCGGGGCUAGAGUGCAGAAGGGGCAACUGGAAUUCUCGGUGUAGCGGUGAAAUGCGUAGAUAUCGAGAGGAACACCUGCGGCGAAGGCGGGUUGCUGGGCUGACACUGACGCUGAUGCGCGAAAGCUAGGGGAGCGAACGGGAUUAGAUACCCCGGUAGUCCUAGCCUUAAACGAUGAAUGCUUGGUGUCUGGGGUUUUAUAGUCCCCGGGUGCCGUCGCUAACGCUUUAAGCAUUCCGCCUGGGGAGUACGGUCGCAAGACUGAAACUC